rnacentral:rRNA from 1 species
UGGCGGCGUGCCUAAUACAUGCAAGUCGAGCGCAGGAAACCGUCUGAACCCUUCGGGGGGACGACGGCGGAAUGAGCGGCGGACGGGUGAGUAACACGUAAAGAACCUGCCCAUAGGUCUGGGAUAACCACGAGAAAUCGGGGCUAAUACCGGAUGUGUCAUCGGACCGCAUGGUCCGCUGAUGAAAGGCGCUCCGGCGUCGCCCAUGGAUGGCUUUGCGGUGCAUUAGCUAGUUGGUGGGGUAACGGCCCACCAAGGCGACGAUGCAUAGCCGACCUGAGAGGGUGAUCGGCCACACUGGGACUGAGACACGGCCCAGACUCCUACGGGAGGCAGCAGUAGGGAAUCUUCCACAAUGGACGAAAGUCUGAUGGAGCAACGCCGCGUGAACGAUGAAGGCUUUCGGGUCGUAAAGUUCUGUUGUAAGGGAAGAACAAGUGCCGCAGGCAAUGGCGGCACCUUGACGGUACCUUGCGAGAAAGCCA